GGGAAGUUCUAGGUUUUCUCGGG
rnacentral:siRNA from 1 species